rnacentral:rRNA from 1 species
GAUGAACGCUGGCGGCGUGCCUAAUACAUGCAAGUCGAGCGAACAGACGAGGAGCUUGCUCCUCUGACGUUAGCGGCGGACGGGUGAGUAACACGUGGAUAACCUACCUAUAAGACUGGGAUAACUUCGGGCAACCGGAGCUAAUACCGGAUAAUAUAUUGAACCGCAUGGUUCAAUAGUGAAAGACGGUUUUGCUGUCACUUAUAGAUGGAUCCGCGCCGCAUUAGCUAGUUGGUAAGGUAACGGCUUACCAAGGCGACGAUGCGUAGCCGACCUGAGAGGGUGAUCGGCCACACUGGAACUGAGACACGGUCCAGACUCCUACGGGAGGCAGCAGUAGGGAAUCUUCCGCAAAGGGCGAAAGCCUGACGGAGCAACGCCGCGUGAGUGAUGAAGGUCUUCGGAUCGUAAAACUCUGUUAUUAGGGAAGAACAAAUGUGUAAGUAACUAUGCACGUCUUGACGGUACCUAAUCAGAAAGCCACGGCUAACUACGUG